CGGGCGAGGGCCUGCUUCAGGCAUGGCAAGGCAAGGCAAGGAGCGCCAGCUUCUGUUUCCCCUCAGGCCUCUUCCCGGUCCACCUGGCCGUGAAGUGCAAGAAGUUCGCCUGCCUCGAGCGGCUGGUCGAGAAGGGCGCCAACGUGAACGCGGCCGAGUGGCAGAGCGGGCGGACGCCUCUGCACCUGGCGGCGGGCCUGGGCUCCCCCAUCCUUACCAAGCUGCUGAUCAAAGCAGGAGCAGAUGCCCUGUGUGAGAAUGACGAGCCCGCCGGGGCUUCCUCGUCCGACACGAGCAGCGACACGGACGCGGAACCGGACGAGGAGGGAGCUGCGGAGGUGUGG
rnacentral:lncRNA from 1 species